rnacentral:rRNA from 1 species
AACGCUGGCGGCGUGCCUAAUACAUGCAAGUCGAGCGAACAGACGAGGAGCUUGCUCCUCUGACGUUAGCGGCGGACGGGUGAGUAACACGUGGAUAACCUACCUAUAAGACUGGGAUAACUUCGGGAAACCGGAGCUAAUACCGGAUAAUAUAUUGAACCGCAUGGUUCAAUAGUGAAAGACGGUUUUGCUGUCACUUAUAGAUGGAUCCGCGCCGCAUUAGCUAGUUGGUAAGGUAACGGCUUACCAAGGCAACGAUGCGUAGCCGACCUGAGAGGGUGAUCGGCCACACUGGAACUGAGACACGGUCCAGACUCCUACGGGAGGCAGCAGUAGGGAAUCUUCCGCAAUGGGCGAAAGCCUGACGGAGCAACGCCGCGUGAGUGAUGAAGGUCUUCGGAUCGUAAAACUCUGUUAUUAGGGAAGAACAAAUGUGUAAGUAACUAUGCACGUCUUGACGGUACCUAAUCAGAAAGCCACGGCUAACUACGUGCCAGCAGCCGCGGUAAUACGUAGGUGGCAAGCGUUAUCCGGAAUUAUUGGGCGUAAAGCGCGCGUAGGCGGUUUUUUAAGUCUGAUGUGAAAGCCCACGGCUCAACCGUGGAGGGUCAUUGGAAACUGGAAAACUUGAGUGCAGAAGAGGAAAGUGGAAUUCCAUGUGUAGCGGUGAAAUGCGCAGAGAUAUGGAGGAACACCAGUGGCGAAGGCGACUUUCUGGUCUGUAACUGACGCUGAUGUGCGAAAGCGUGGGGAUCAAACAGGAUUAGAUACCCUGGUAGUCCACGCCGUAAACGAUGAGUGCUAAGUGUUAGGGGGUUUCCGCCCCUUAGUGCUGCAGCUAACGCAUUAAGCACUCCGCCUGGGGAGUAC